GAUGAACGCUGGCGGCGUGCCUAAUACAUGCAAGUCGAGCGAACAGACGAGGAGCUUGCUCCUCUGACGUUAGCGGCGGACGGGUGAGUAACACGUGGAUAACCUACCUAUAAGACUGGGAUAACUUCGGGAAACCGGAGCUAAUACCGGAUAAUAUAUUGAACCGCAUGGUUCAAUAGUGAAAGACGGUUUUGCUGUCACUUAUAGAUGGAUCCGCGCCGCAUUAGCUAGUUGGUAAGGUAACGGCUUACCAAGGCAACGAUGCGUAGCCGACCUGAGAGGGUGAUCAGCCACACUGGAACUGAGACACGGUCCAGACUCCUACGGGAGGCAGCAGUAGGGAAUCUUCCGCAAUGGGCGAAAGCUUGACGGAGCAACGCCGCGUGAGUGAUGAAGGUCUUCGGAUCGUAAAACUCUGUUAUUAGGGAAGAACAAAUGUGUAAGUAACUAUGCACGUCUUGACGGUACCUAAUCAGAAAGCCCCGGCUAACUACGUG
rnacentral:rRNA from 1 species